AGAUUUGAGCUAUACUCAAAUUUCUGUCUAAAUUUAUUAUCUAUGUCUCGCUCUCAUGAGUCACUUGCAGGAUAUCUUCGAUGGAUGGUAUGUGGAAGCUUGCAUCGUUUUGGCUAUUGUUCUCUAUAUCAUUAUCAGAGCUAGAAUCGAGUACAAGCACUCUUGUCAAUUUGAAAAGUUGAGCAAGGAGAAGAGUAACAUACAUCUAGAGGUCAUUAGAGGCGGCAGAAGAGUCAGGGUUUCUAUCUAUGAUAUUUUUGUGGGAGAUAUUGUACCCCUCAGGAAUGGUGUUCAGAUUAGCAGGUUCUAAAAGAUCUACAAAGAAAUUCGUUCUUGUUAUCUGGCUCAAAACUGAUUAAAGGCACUAGUACAAUGCUGGUGGAUAAAAAGGUUUUUGUGGAUUUUCAUGUUGGUGAUGUUAUUGCUUUGGCGGCUUCACGGCGACAAGAAAGACAGCAAGCAUCCAAGACAGUUCAAGGCUCUAUGGGACAUGAACUCUGGUGUGGCUGCAGCCUACUAAGCCUACAGAUUGUCCUGAAAGAUAUAAAUGAUACAUUGGAAAAGAUCAUAGAGAGUAUCAAAUAUGUUCAAGUUUCUGGAAAACGUGAGAUUUUGUUUGCAAAAUGUGUUGAAGCUGUUGGUCUACAGUUGAAAGCGGGCUUGAUUAUGGAUGUGAAAACUAGAUGAAACUCAACAUACAAGAUGCUUGAUAGGGCUCUCAAGUAUCGAGCUGCCUUUGGUAAUCUCAAAGUCAUUGAUAGGAGAAACUACAAGUUUCACCCUACAGAAGCUGAAUGGCACCGAUUGAACCAGAUUUGUGAGUUUUUUGGAGCCUUUUGAUGAAAUCACUAAUCUGAUCUCAGGUUCAACAUAUCUAACUUCAAACUUGUACUUCAUGCAAGUUUGGAAGAUCAACAAUUGUUUGAUAUCGAAUUCACAUAAUCAAGAUGAAGUCAUCAAAAGUAUGAUUAUCCCAAUGAGAGAAAGGUUUGAUAAGUAUUGGAAAUAGGUUAGUGAUGUCUUUGCAAUGACUACAGUGUUUGAUCCAAGGUUGAAGCUAACACUGGUAAAUUAUUGUUUUGAAAAGAACGACAAGUGUUCUGCUCAGAUAAAGAUUAAACAUUUGCGUGGUAAGCUUACUACUCUUUUUGAAUCUUAUGAGAAUAAGUUCAUUUUCACAUCAUCUUCUUCAGAGACACGUGAAACUAAUCAAAAAACUGAUGAGAAUGAAGGAAAAAAAAAAGAGUUUUGGCAACUAUGAUGAUUUUAUAAACUUCCGCAAACAAACUGUUGUUACUAGUGGAAAGUCUUCUUUGGAAAUGUAUCUAGAUGAUCCACCGAUAGACAUGAUAGAGUAUGAGAGUUUGGAUAUUUUAAAAUAUUGGAAAGAUAACUCUCAACGGUAUGGAGAACUGGCAUCAAUGGCUUGCGACCUCCUUAGUAUACCAAUCACAACGGUAGCAUCUGAAUCUUCUUUUUGUAUUGAAACUCGAGUUUUGAACAAGUACAAAAGCCGUCUUCUCCCAAAAAAAUGUUCAAGCAUUAAUAUGCUGCCGCAAUUGGUUAAAAGGUUUUGAAGCAUAUGAAAAUGAGGAGGAUGAAGAAUUUGAUGAAGAUGAGACAUUACCUUCUUUCCAAUCAAUUGUUGAUGAUGAAUCUUGAUUUGGUUGAAGAGACAUCUUGACCUUGAGAUCUAUGUUUUCAGCUUU